rnacentral:rRNA from 1 species
UACGGGGGGGGCAAGCGUUGUUCGGAAUUACUGGGCGUAAAGGGCUCGUAGGCGGCCAACUAAGUCAGACGUGAAAUCCCUCGGCUUAACCGGGGAACUGCGUCUGAUACUGGAUGGCUUGAGUUUGGGAGAGGGAUGCGGAAUUCCAGGUGUAGCGGUGAAAUGCGUAGAUAUCUGGAGGAACGCCGGUGGCGAAGGCGGCAUCCUGGACCAACACUGACGCUGAGGCGCGAAAGCGUGGGUAGCAAACAGG